GAGGUCAUAGCUCAGUAGUAGAGUGCAUGCUUAGUACACACGAGAUGCUGGGUUCAAUCCCCAGUACCUCC
rnacentral:tRNA from 1 species